rnacentral:rRNA from 1 species
AAUGAACGCUGGCGGCAGGCCUAACACAUGCAAGUCGAGCGGAGCGGUGGACGGGUGAGUAAUGCCUAGGAAUCUGCCUGGUAGUGGGGGAUAACGUCCGGAAACGGGCGCUAAUACCGCAUACUAGCAGAUGAGCCUAGGUCGGAUUAGCUAGUUGGUGGGGUAAAGGCCUACCAAGGCGACGAGCCGUAACUGGUCUGAGAGGAUGAUCAGUCACACUGGAACUGAGACACGGUCCAGACUCCUACGGGAGGCAGCAGUGGGGAAUAUUGGACAAUGGGCGAAAGCCUGAUCCAGCCAUGCCGCGUGGGUGAAGAAGGUCUUCGGAUUGUAAAGCACUGUAAGUAGGGAGGCGUUACCAACAGAGUAAGCACCAGCUAACUUCGUGCCAGCAGCCGCGGUAAUUC